UUUCAUUUAUAUAUUAUUUGCAAGUUUAUUUUGGAUCUUAGCUUGUUACAUAACUUAGAUUUAGUGCAAUAUGUUGUGAUGUUCCAGUGUUUGUUUCCAUUUGUCCUUUGACCAUAGUAUGCAUAUUUCCUCCUUUGAUCUACUAAUGUGGAUUUAUUCUGGUAAGAUCAUCCUGCUAUUGAUUAUCUUCAACACUAAUUCCCAUAUUUAGUUUUAAAUUAUUAUGUGGCACUGAUGGAUGACAAGACAACUGUUCCUUACAAACCUCGAGUUAUUAAGGAUUAAUCCAGGGUGGCCUUGGCAAUGUUCCUUGGGAAAAUUAAUUGGAAUAAUUUGAGUGGAAAGUGUCAUGCUUGAACUACCUAACAAGUGGUUGCAGUGAGUUUAAAACAGUACAAAUCUAGAACCAUCCUCUUAUCUAUCAACAUAAAGAACCACUAUGAGGGUGGAGUUGUACUCAUACUUUUAAGUUUUGACUAAAAUAAAACUCAGGUUUCAACCAAAAUGGCUCAGGCUCCAUGGGAUGGAUAGGCUAGGGUAAAAACUGUUUGGAUAUUAUGGGUGAAGAAGAUAUGUUGAUACUUGGAGCUGGGAUGAAACCCCAGCCUUUGCUCAUCAUUGCCUCUUCAAGCACCACCAUUAGAUAGGAGAUGUUUCUCAGAUAUUGGGGCUGCCUAAAACCCAAUAGUCUAGUUGGUCCUUUCUUUGGCCUUGGCAAAGGUCCUUUCCUUGGCCUUGGAAAAGAAAUGUAUGCCCUCUAAUUCUGUUGCUAUUUCAAAACCACAUAAAUCAUUUUGAUAUUUCAUAUUACUCAUGCUGAUUCUGUUCUAU